ACAAGAACGCAGCAAAGUGUUUUCAGGUAGCUGUUUCCUCAGAUUGUAAUGUUAUUAAGAAAUGGCAGUUAACAGAAACAGUGGAGCUCGAGGUGAGGUCUGGAAGAUGAAGAAAACUUUCUGAAAUAACUGCUCGUUGGAUUGCUAGAAAGGCAAAUAAAAAACCCUGUUUGACCGCAAAAGACCUUCAGAAAGAUUUAGCAGACCCUGGAGUGGUGGUGCACUGUUCUACUAUGCAGUGACACCUGAACAAAUAUGACCUUCAUUGGAAGAGUCAUCAGAAGAAAACCUUUCCUGCGUCCUAGCCACAAAAUUCAGUGUCUGAAGUUUGCAAAUGAACAUCUAAAUAAGCCUGAUGCAUUUUGGAAACGAGUCCUGUGGACUGAUGAAAUCAAAAUAGAACUUUUUGGCCACAAUGUGCAAAGGUAUGUUUGGAGAAAAAAAGGGUGCCAAAUUCCAGGAAAAGAACACCUCUCCGACUCUGAAGCAUGGGUGUGGCUCGAUCAUGCUUUGGGGUUGUGUUGCAGUCAGUGGCACAGGGCACAUUUCAUUGGUCGAGGGAAGCAUGGAUUCGAAUAAAUACCAGCAAAUUCUGGAAGCAAACAUCACACCAUCUGUAAAAAAGUUGAAGUUAAAAAGAGACCUUCAUGGAAGAGUCAUCAGAAGAAAGGAUGGGUGCUACAAUAAGACAAUGAUCCAAAACACACCUCAAAAUCUACAAUGGAAUACCUCAAGAGGCACGAGCUGAAGGUUUUGCCCUGGCCCUCACAGUCCCCUGACCUAAACAUCACUGAAAAUCUGUGGAUAGAUCUCAAAAGAGCAGUGCAUGCAAGACAGCCCAAGAAACUUGUAGAACUGGAAGCCUUUUGCAAGGACUAAUGUGUGAAAAUCUCUCAGUGACAACACGCUUGACGUCCCAACCCUGAAGUUUGUCAUGUUGAAUGAUAAACAACAACCAGGAGCCAGCGCUUCACAUGGUCGCAGGCAAGCUGGAACCUAUCCCAGAGGACUACGGGCGAAAGGCGGGGUACACCCUGGACAAGUUGCCAGGUCAUCACAGGGCUGACACAUAGACACAGACAACCAUUCACACUCACAUUCACACCUACGGUCAAUUUAGAGUCACCAGUUAGCCUAACCUGCAUGUCUUUGGACUGUGGGGGAAACCGGAGCACCCGGAGGAAACCCACGCGGACACGGGGAGAACAUGCAAACUCCGCACAGAAAGGCCCUCGCCGGCCACGGGGCUCGAACCCGGACCUUCUUGCUGUGAGGCCACAGCGCUAACCACUACACCACUGUGCCGCCCCAUAGUAAGGACUUAACUGAGGAAAAAGCCAAUUUACACCCGCGUGUGUGGUGACCACUUUAUAUCUGGAGCACUGGCAAACCUACAUGAUAAAACAAAUCCAGGUUGGGCAACAAGACUAAAAUUAGGACACGAUAAGAUCAAGACGAAAACUCAUCUCACAGUAUCAAGAAGCAACAGGAUAAAUGAAAGAUCUGCCAAGAAAGCCAGAUUAGAAGCAGUGCAAACUUUCAGGAGUUUGGAUAGACAAGGAGAACAAUAUGUACCAGAGUCAAAUGAAAUGGUGCCUGAAACCCUCCCAGCAGAGACGCACACUGAAAGUGGCUACCAGGCAGAACUCACUGGGUUACAAAUAUCUCAAAUGGAGCAGUGCAAUAGAGAUAUGAUGUGUGAAUUGGUGGAACUAAAGGGAAAAAAAAUUGGAAGCUGAUUUAACUUGAUUGCCAAAGUAUGCUGUGCCUUGUGUAGUUUAUCUCCAUGGACUGUUCCUCUUGAUUAGAGUGAUUUUACUUUGUCUAUGAAAAGAAAAUAGAACUAGCAUAAAAUAGUACUACUUGCUUCGUGAUGUUUCUGUUGCAUGCUUUGAGACGGUGUUUGUACUCUUUGUCAAAGAGCUUUAUUGUUUGAAAUGUAAAGGUUUGUUGGGUAAUAAUAUAAAAACAAGAACAAUUAGAAUAUCAAAAUAUGUUAAUAAAAUAUACUACUUAUAUACAUGUCCUUGCAUUUUGGAUUUGUAUCCAGUUGGAUCCAACAUGGCGGCGGGUGUAUACGUCACACUGUUUUUGUCACGUGGUUACACACGAAGAAUAGCGUGACCUGAGAAUUUGAGUGUGCAUAUGUUCCUGGUGGAUACUGUAGAAUAAUGAAGGAGUUGUGCCAAGUGUUUUGUAGAUUUUCUUAUUUCUGUGGUAAAAACACUCGUGUUAAGCCUAGGUCACAACCGGAUGUACGAUUUUUUUUUGGCCGUGCGAUUUUUAGCGUUUCCCAAAUCGCUGCGUUUUUUUUUUUUGUUCGUGGAGAAAGACGCACGUUGGCCGUAAGUUUGUCUUGUGACCUGAAAAAAACGUAAGCACCAGUAGAGUUUGUUUGACUUGACAAAGAACCUCUGUGGCCAGUCUACGACUCAAAAAUCAGCACGUCACACGCGCGCCCUCCGUGCGUUUCUUGCGUUUUUUGCACGUAGACCGGCCGUAGGAGCACGUACGGCCGGUUGUGACCUAGGCUUUAGUCACCAGCUCUAGUCCAGUUUAUCAGUAGUUGGUUUUGUGUUUUGAUCUUUUUUUUUUUUUAUUCAUACGAGCUUGUUACACUGUUGUUAAACGUGAUUUAUGUGUGCAAUACAAAAACACUGCUCAAACAGUAUGAUAUUAAUAAAUGAAGCAUUGUCGUA